rnacentral:rRNA from 1 species
AUUGAACGCUGGCGGCAGGCCUAACACAUGCAAGUCGAGCGAGUGGCGGACGGGUGAGUAAUGUCUGGGAACCUGCCCGAUGGAGGGAGAUAACUACUGGAAACGGUAGCUAAUACCGCAUACCAUUGGAUGAGCCCAGAUGUGAUUAGCUAGUAGGUGGGGUAACGGCUCACCUAGGCGACGAUCCCUAGCGGGUCUGAGAGUAUGACCAGCCACACUGGACCGGUGACACGGUCCAGACGCCGACGGGAGGCAGCAGUGGUGAAUAGUGCACAAGGGGCGCAAGCCUGAUGCAGCCAUGCCGCGUGUAUGAAGAAGGCCUUCGGGUUGUAAAGUACUUUCAGCGAGGAGGCGUUACCCGCAGAAGAAGCACCGGCUAACUCCGUGCCAGCAGCCGCGGUAAUAC